rnacentral:rRNA from 1 species
ACGUAGGGUGCGAGCGUUAAUCGGAAUUACUGGGCGUAAAGCGUGCGCAGGCGGUGCUGUAAGACAGGCGUGAAAUCCCCGGGCUCAACCUGGGAAUUGCGCUUGUGACUGCAGCGCUGGAGUGCGGCAGAGGGGGAUGGAAUUCCGCGUGGAGCAGCGCAAUGCGUAGAGAUGCGGAGGAACACCGAGGGCGUAGGCAAUCCCCUGGGCAGGCAAUGACGCUCAUGCGCGAAAGCGUGGGGAGCAAAAAG